GGGGAAACUUUAGUAUACGAUCCCACGAUUUCAGGGUUAAAAGUGGUAUGGUUGGAUAGAGCUGAUGCUCCAGAUUAAGAAAAUAUAUAAUUGUUGCCGCCGCAAACUUAUAGCUUUCGAGAUAUUUGCAUUUAAAGUUGAAAAUUUUGCAAAUUUUAUCUUGCAAUUUCUCGAUUGCUAGUAAUUAUUUAAUUCAUAUUAUGCACUUUUUAUGCACUUAUACUUCAUUACAUUGUUUCUACAUAUUUUUUUCCUGUAAUUAUUUAGUUAUUUGCUUAAAAUAAGCAUUUUAUAUUUUACACAAUUUUCAUUUCAUGCACAAUAACAAAAGUAUUCCGUGUUUACAGAUAUUAAGUGUUGCCAUAAUUACACAUUUAUCAAAUGAAUAAGAAUGGACAUAAAAACUCAAACGCAGAAAACAAAUACCAUCUGAAAUAAAUUUUCCAUUGUAAUAAAAAAAGUUUUAGGGCUUAUAAGUAUGUUUAAUCUAAUAAUUUAAUAAAAGGAUCAUAAUGAUUAUUUGCAAUUCAACAAAGGUAAAACAGGGUAAACAUUAGUCCAUUCGCGUCCCACUUCUUUCUGCAUUGGCGGCCUUCGGCCGCGCUUCAAAAAAAUAACCCUGGCCGAUCCAACACCGGGGUGUAUCAAGUUUUUUUUUUAAGUAAAACUCCUUUUCGCGUUGGCGGCCUUCGGCCGCGCUUCAAAAAAAUAACCCUGGCCGAUCCAACACCGGGGUGUAUCAAUUUUUUUUUUAAGUAAAACUCCUUUUCGCGUUGGCGGCCUUCGGCCGCGCUUCAAAAAAAUAACCCUGGCCGAUCCAACACCGGGGUGUAUCAAGUUUUUUUUUAAGUAAAACUCCUUUUCGCGUUGGCGGCCUUCGGCCGCGCUUCAAAAAAAUAACCCUGGCCGAUCCAACACCGGGGUGUAUCAGGUUGUUUUUAAGUAAAACUCCUUUUCGCGUUGGCGGCCUUCGGCCGCGCUUCAAAAAAAUAACCCUGGCCGAUCCAACACCGGGGUGUAUCAAAUUUUUUUUUAAGUAAAACUCCUUUUCGCGUUGGCGGCCUUCGGCCGCGCUUCAAAAAAAUAACCCUGGCCGAUCCAACACCGGGGUGUAUCAAGUUUUUUUUAAUUAAAACUCCUUUUCGCGUUGGCGGCCUUCGGCCGCGCUUCAAAAAAAUAACCCUGGCCGAUCCAACACCGGGGUGUAUCAGGUUGUUUUUAAGUAAAACUCCUUUGCGCGUUGGCGGCCUUCGGCCGCGCUUCAAAAAAAUAACCCUGGCCGAUCCAACACCGGGGUGUAUCAAAAAUCUUGAUAUAUCAAGAAAAAGGGCAAUGAUUUAUGUAUUUGGGGUAUAGUCCUAUUUUUUAUUCAUUUUUAUUCGUUUGAUAAAUGUGUAAUUAUGGCAACACUUAUUAUCUGUCAACACGGAAUACUUUUGUUAUUGUGCAUGAAAUGAAAAUUGUGUAAAAUAUAAAAUGCUU